rnacentral:rRNA from 1 species
AGAGUUUGAUCAUGGCUCAGGAUGAACGCUAGCGGGAGGCUUAACACAUGCAAGUCGAGGGGUAUAGUAGCAAUACUAGAGACCGGCGCACGGGUGAGUAACGCGUAUGCAACCUGCCCUUUACUGGGGGAUAGCCCGUAGAAAUGCGGAUUAAUACCCCAUAGUACUAUUUGGUCGCAUGAUUGAAUAGUUAAAGUUUCGGUGGUAAAGGAUGGGCAUGCGUGACAUUAGCUAGUUGGUGAGGUAACGGCCCACCAAGGCUACGAUGUCUAGGGGUUCUGAGAGGAAGAUCCCCCACACUGGUACUGAGACACGGACCAGACUCCUACGGGAGGCAGCRGUGAGGAAUAUUGGUCAAUGGGCGAGAGCCUGAACCAGCCAUCCCGCGUGCAGGAAGAAUGCCCUAUGGGUUGUAAACUGCUUUUUCGCAUGAAGAACAUCCCUGACGUGUCGGGGACUGACGGUAAUGCGUGAAUAAGCACCGGCUAACUCCGUGCCAGCAGCCGCGGUAAUACGGAGGGUGCAAGCGUUAUCCGGAUUUAUUGGGUUUAAAGGGUGCGUAGGCGGCACUUUAAGUCAGUGGUGAAAUCCUGCAGCUCAACUGUAGAACAGCCAUUGAAACUGAAGUACUUGAGUAAUCUUGAGGUAGGCGGAAUGUGUAGUGUAGCGGUGAAAUGCUUAGAUAUUACACAGAACACCGAUUGCGAAGGCAGCUUACUAAGGAUUUACUGACGCUGAUGCACGAAAGCGUGGGGAUCAAACAGGAUUAGAUACCCUGGUAGUCC